UGUAUCUUAAUUUUGUUUUAGCUCGCUAAAGCCACCACAAAGUUUGUUGCAUAUUCUCAUGGAGGUGACUGGGGCUUUGAUGACUGGAAUAGUUGGAGGCAAGCCGAUGGGUUCCUGUGCAGAUCACACAAUGAUUGCACUUGGAUGGAUCCUAAUUUAAGAUGUGAAGAUUAUGAAAUGAGUGUUAGUCCUAGUCGAGCUUGGUUUGGAGGAGAUCUUGCUUCUAUAGUUGGAAAGUGUGAGUGUACCGAAG